ACGUAGGGUGCGAGCGUUAAUCGGAAUUACUGGGCGUAAAGCGUACGCAGGCGGUUUGCUAAGCCAGGUGUGAAAUCCCCGGGCUUAACCUGGGAAUUGCGCUUGUGACUGGCAAGCUGGAGUACGGUAGAGGGGGGUAGAAUUUCAGGUGUAGCGGUGAAAUGCGUAGAGAUGUGGAGGAACACCGAUGGCGAAGGCAGCCACCUGGGCCGAUACUGACGCUCAUGCACGAAAGCGUGGGGAGCAAACAG
rnacentral:rRNA from 1 species